UGAGAUUCUGGAACCAUCCAUUCCAGCU
rnacentral:misc_RNA from 1 species